CUCCCCUUCCUGGUGUGCCUCCUACCUCUCUUGUAGCGUUGCCGAGUGGAGAAUAUCCCCUACAGGAGCUUCAAUUUUCUGUACCUGGCCGGACUGACAGGGAGUGCUCUCUCAGUGAGCACCUCCGGUCAGUCUGGCUGGGUACAGGAAACAGAAGCUCCUGUACUGCGUUCCACCACGCUACACUCAGUGGUGUAUACACACUGACAGUCACACACACUCAAUGACAAACACACAGACUCACUGAUCUGACACACACUGAUACUCACACACAGACUCAAUGGCAAAGAUACUCUCACUGAUUUGACAGACACUCACAAACACACACUGACAGACACACAUACACUGCCACACUCAUACACUCACAUGCAGUACUCAUACAAGCACUCACAGACACACUCACUCACAGACACACAUACUCAUGCACACACUCAGUCAGUCAUGGGCACACAGACACUCAGGCACACAUACACUCACACACAGACACACACACAGACAGACACACACACUCAAUCACAGACAGUCACUCACAGACACACAGACACGCAUACACACACUCACUAAUUAUUUUAAUAAAUAAACAUUUUCCACCCAGCCUCCCUACCUGGAGAGCUGGUGUGGAUGAUGAAUCAUUCCC